rnacentral:lncRNA from 1 species
GUGGGGUCGGCGAGUCAGCCGAUUGCUCCGCUCGAUCAUUUUGGCUGAGAGUUUUAGAUGUAGAAGGAGUGUAACUCCCAUCGUUGCAAAUGCAUCGGUCCUUUACGCGCCCGAUGCAUCGUUGGUGGUUGGUCCGCCGGGUCGCAGCGGAUCGUCAAGUUCGAGUUGUGAUGCCGGGGACUCGCAUCCCUUGGUGAGCGCCGAAUAACAGUUGAGGAGUUGACAUUCUAGACUCUGAAGUUUAAAACUGGGUUCAUAUUCCAAGUGAGG